rnacentral:rRNA from 1 species
GACGAACCGUGCGAACGUUGUUCGGAAUCACUGGGCUUAAAGGGCGCGUAGGCGGGUUCGCAAGUCUGUGGUGAAAGCCUCCAGCUUAACUGGAGAAGUGCCGUGGAUACUGCGAAUCUUGAGGAGGGUAGGGGCGUCUGGAACGGUCGGUGGAGCGGUGAAAUGCGUUGAUAUCGACCGGAACUCCGGUGGCGAAGGCGAGGCGCUGGACCCUUCUGACGCUGAGGCGCGAAAGCCAGGGGAGCAAACGGGG